UGGGGAAUUGUUCGCAAUGGGCGAAAGCCUGACGCAGCGACGCCGCGUGUGGGAUGAAGGUCUUCGGAUUGUAAACCACUGUCGGGAGGGACGAAGCUCUGACGGUACCUCCAAAGGAAGCACCGGCUAACUCUGUGCCAGCAGCCGCGGUAAUACAGAGGGUGCGAGCGUUGUCCGGAAUCACUGGGCGUAAAGGGCGCGUAGGCGGCCUGGUAAGUAGGGGGUGAAAUCUCAUGGCUCAACUGUGAGGCUGCCUUCUAGACUGCUGGGCUUGAGCACGGUAGAGGCUGGUGGAAUUCCCGGUGUAGCGGUGGAAUGCGUAGAGAUCGGGAGGAACAUCGGUGGCGAAGGCGGCCAGCUGGGCCGUUGCUGACGCUGAGGCGCGAAAGCGUGGGGAGCAAACAGGAUUAGAUACCCACGUAGUCCCUGAGCGGGCUGGCAAGGCGCAU
rnacentral:rRNA from 1 species